rnacentral:rRNA from 1 species
CACGUAGGGGGCGAGCGUUGUCCGGAAUCAUUGGGCGUAAAGAGCUCGUAGGCGGCUCAGUAAGUCGGGUGUGAAACCCUCAGGCUCAACCUGGGGACGCCACCCGAUACUGCUGUGGCUAGAGUCCAGUAGAGGAGUGUGGAAUUCCGGUGUAGCGGUGAAAUGCGCAGAUAUCGGGAGGAACACCAACGGCGAAGGCAGAUCUCUGGGCCGUAACUGACGCUGAGGAGCGAAAGCUAGGGGAGCGAACG